rnacentral:rRNA from 1 species
GGUGACACCGAGCNGAACCGAAAACCGUUCUCAGUUCGGAUCGGAGUCUGCAACCCGACUCCGUGAAGCUGGAUUCGCUAGUAAUCGCGCAUCAGCCAUGGCGCGGUGAAUACGUUCCCGGGCCUUGUACACACCGCCCGUCAAGCCAUGGAAGCCGGGGGCGCUUGAAGUGCGUUGCCGCAAGGCGCGCCCUAGAGCGAAACCGGUGACUGGGGCUAAGUCGUAACAAGGUACC